rnacentral:rRNA from 1 species
GCUUACGGCCACACCACCCUGAACACGCCCGAUCUCGUCCGAUCUCGGAAGCUAAGCAGGGCCGGGGCCUGGUUAGUACUGGAUGGCGAGGACCGCCUGGGAAUACCAGGUGCUGUAAGUU